CUGUUGGUGCAUGCUCUCUCAGUUGUGUUGAGAGACUUCCCUGCUGGUAUUUCAGAGAUACAGAUGAAGCCAGACAGAUCAAGCUGCUUCUCAUUCUUAUCCCAAGAAGCUGGCUGACUGCAGGGCCUCCAGACUCUGUCAGGGAAGACACUCCUCCCCAGAAGUUCCCAGCACCUCUCAUUUAUGCGUAGCCACAAGGCAUGAUGGGAAAUGAGUAUGUGGCAUUUUGAACCUCCAUCAUGGAAACAGGCUCCACCCAGAGGAAGCAGCGGGUAGACUUGGCUAUUGGGUCCAAGUUCUUCCCUUCCUUCAAGCUCCAAAUCAACUUCUAACCUUCCAUAUGCAGCCUUCCUUGUCUUUCUGUGGCUGAAUCUCUGUAGCACUUAGAGUCUAAAUUCAAAAGCUUGAUUACUAACAUUACUGUUUUUUUCCCCCUUCUAGUAGUGUUAGGUGUGCAAACCCUACUUCCUUAAGUAGCUUUUCUGUUUCUUGACUGUCAUAAGGAUGUUUGUGUCUUUCCCUUAUUCCCUGUGGUGCCCAGAUUAGUUCUGAAGACACAGGAGGGACUGAAUACAUUUUCGUCAUUGGUUGAUUUAUUGAAAGUUCAGAAUGUCAGGGAAACAUGCUGAACAAAACACAAGCAAGUAGUUUUGCCACUCUAAGUAAAAUGCAGGAAUUCAGUGGGGACUUGGGAUUGAGGGUGGAAAGUUCGACUUUGAGAGAAGUCAGAAGGAACAAAAAAGUAUUUGGCUAGAGCUACAGCAGAUGGAUAAAGGCAGCCCUAUUUGGAAGAGACGAUGGGUUCUUUAGAAACAAUGCUGGAGUCCUAGUUUUGGCUUUGGGGUUUUCACUACAUCACUACUGGUAUGUGCCCUGGAGAAACCAUGUAACCUCUCUGGGCCCCUGUUUCUUUGAUUAUAAAAUGAGAAGCUUGGAUUAGAUGACAUCUAAUGCCCCACUGGUUCUAAAACUGUGUUUCCAAGAUAGGAGAGGAAUAAGCAAUUUUAGACUGCAGGGUGGACAAAUUCCUGGGAUUCCAGAAGUUCCUUUUCUGUCCCCCCCGAGUGUAAAAGAAAUAGUGUGGGAUGAAGCCCUUACCCUGCUCUAUCCUUGAUUUGCUGUGUGUCACCCAUUCAUUCACCCAACGAAUGUUGGUGAAGCCCUACAGUGUGGCAGGCACGGGGCUAGUCCUGGCGAUGGAAUGGUGGAUGAAACUGACACAUCCCUAUCCCGUGGGAUUUACAACCUAGUGGGAGAAGACAGACACAGAAAUGUAAAGCUACAACUGUGAUGAGUGCUAGGAAGGACAUAGAGAUGAUGGGUGAAAGGAAUCUGACUCGGACUAGAGUCUGGGAAGGCUUCUGAGUGGUAAUUCUCUAGGAGGCCAGCAGAUGGAAGAAGAGAGCACCCGUGAAGGUGCUCUGGUGGGAGGUAGAAUGGCAAGUUUGGAAAACAGGAAGAAGAGUGCAGUUGGAACUUAGAGAAUUCAAGAGGGUGGUUUAGAUAACGUGAGAGGGAUAGGGUCAGAUUAUGGGGGACCUUGUCAAACAUGGUGAGAACACUGUUCUUUAUUGUAAGAGCAGUAAGAAGCCACGAGUCGGAGAGUGGGGUGACCAGUGGGUGGUAAGUGGAUUUGAGAGAGGCUGGAGUGGGCACGAAUCAGAUCGAGGGAGGAAUCCAGGUGAGUGACAGCCACAGCUUUGUCUAGGGAGCAAAUGCUGGAAACAAAGUGAUAUAGCCCUUCAGGUUCUCAGUUUCCUCUUUGCAAAAGAAAGGUUGGACCCAACAUUAGGAUGCUUUCCGGCAAUUUCUGUGGCUUGGUGGAAUGGAAAUACUCUGGGGAAGAGUUUAUUGCUGUUUGACCACAUGACUGGUGUGUAGCAUGCACUCUUACAUGCUGCUUUUUGGGUGGGCUUUUCCUGGACGUGGGGUUCUCUCUGAACUCCUCAAAUGAGACAUGCUUUAUACCAGUGCUUCAAACUUCAUUGUAGAACUUCUGACAACCAUAUUUUAAAAUGUUUACUUUGAAUCAAAUUGUAACAUAGGAUGAGAGGUUAUUUAGUUUUCCUCUGACAAAGCCUUCGUCUACUUUUUUUUAAAUAAAAAGUCCUUAUACUGGACACAACAAAAGAAACAGUUUCAUCUACUAGUUUUAAUUCUGGUUCCACUGGAAGAAAUAAUGAGAACCCUUUGGAAACAUUUUCCCUCAGGGGGCAUAAAUCCCAUGAAAAUCUCAAGAAUUUUUUACCAUGACUUAAGGCUUCCUAGUAUAACAAGAAAAGGAUCAAUCUAUUGUAAAUUUUACAGCCUUACCCCUGACUAUAAAAAUAUAUGCUCACUGCAGAAAAUUUCAGAAAACAUGGACAGCGUUAAAAAAGAAAAUUAAGAUUGCUCAUAAUCCCACUACCUAGAUAGAAAGAAACACUAUUUAACAUUUUCAUUUAUUUAUAACCCAUUCAUUCUUACCAGUGUAAAUCUGUGAGCAUAUUUAGACAUCUAGACAUAUGCGUCCUUCUUUUGUUCCUACAUGGUGUCAUAAUGUUUAGGAUGAUGCCCUCUGUGGUUGGGUUACUACAGUUCAAAUUUGAGUAAAUUUAGGAAUUUUCUAUUUCCCUAAGCCAUAGUUUUCUCACCUGUAAAAUGUGCAUAACGAUGAUGCCAAUCUCUAGGACAUGUGAGAACUAAAUGAGAUAAAGUAUGUAAGGUCUUAACUAUAGGU